AAGGAUUUAAGUUAAAUAAACUUUUGACCUUCAAAGUCAACUAUGAAAUUCCUAUUUUCAAGCCUUA
rnacentral:tRNA from 1 species